rnacentral:rRNA from 1 species
CAGUAGCCGCGGGAAUACGUAGGUGGCAAGCGUUAUCCGGAAUUAUUGGGCGUAAAGCGCGCGCAGGCGGUUUCUUAAGUCUGAUGUGAAAGCCCACGGCUCAACCGUGGAGGGUCAUUGGAAACUGGGGAACUUGAGUGCAGAAGAGAAAAGCGGAAUUCCACGUGUAGCGGUGAAAUGCGUAGAGAUGUGGAGGAACACCAGUGGCGAAGGCGGCUUUUUGGUCUGUAACUGACGCUGAGGCGCGAAAGCGUGGGGAGCAAACAGGAUUAGAUACCCCCGUAGUCCCUGUCUCUUAUAA